CACUUUCAAGUAAAAGUGACGCAGAAAAAGAGCCUACCUGAACUGAUACUAGCACAGAAUAAACACUCAGUCACUUUCUGCUGAAUGGAUAAAGUGAGAGAGGAGCUUUGGCUUAAACCUGAGAGUCUUCCCAUCAGUGCUACCAGAAGGAAUCAUGGUAAACUUAGCAGAGAGUGCUGGCGCAUGCCUGUAGUCCCUGCUACUCAGGAGGUCGAAGAGGGAGGAUUGUUUGAGACUGCUUAAGCCCAGGAGUUCCAGCAUGCAGUGAGCCAUGAGCGAGACCCGAUCGAAGAAAGAAAGGAAGGAAGGAAGAAAGGGAGGGAGGGAAGGAGGAAGGAAGGAAGCAAGCCUGAUACUGCUGCCCACCCUCAACCCCCUGUUGCUGAGAACCUGUUAGCAACAAGGCCACUGGAAUCAUUAUACAACGGUAAGUAUCUAGAUAACAAGUUAACCAAGCC